GUUUCUCUGGGUUUAGAUUCUGGGUUCCAGGUUCCCUGAGUCGAGUUCUGGGUUCGAAUAAAGGGUCGGGCCCCUAUAGCCUCAAUGGAUGCUAUGGAAGAUAUGGAAGUUUUUACUGGAAGUAAUCCUGGUUUAGCUCCAGUAUGCCAGGUUUUGGGUCGAGGAACUCUGCCCGGAUUGAAGUACAGACAUUUAGGAAAAUCUGGACUCAAGGUGUCCAGUAUAGCACUAGGAAGCCUCAAAUCCUUCUCCAAUGACGACUCUGAACUAAACGAAGAGAUUGUAACACUUGCUUUCGAGAACGGAAUAAAUUUCUUUGAUAUCAGUGAACCCUUCACGAGUCAGAAAGCAGAGAUUGAGCUGGGACGGAUUAUCAAGAAGAAAGGAUGGUCUCGGAGACAGUUUACUGUGGCGACCAAGAUAUAUUGGGAUAAGACAGAAGACAGAGCUUUAUCUCGGAAGGAAAUAUUAGAAUCUGUGAAGGAUUCUUUAGAAAACCUUCAACUAGAUUAUAUUGAUCUCGUCAUUAUACAUAAAAAUGAUUCACAUUGUCCACUAGAAGAGGUGGUAAAAGCGAUUAACUUUCUGAUCACAACAGGCAAGAUUUUGUACUGGGGCACAGCAAAAUGGAGUCCUGUUGAGAUAUUUGAAUCCUUCUCUAUUGCCCGAGCUAUGAACUGCGUAACUCCGCUUUGUGAAUACGCAGAAUAUCAUCCCUUCCACAGAGAAAAGGUUGAACUUUACAUGGCAGAGUUGUACAACAAGGUUGGGUUGGGACUGAUAACCUGGUCUCCUGUGUCUCUAGGUCUAGUUCUUGGUACUAGUGAGGAGCAGACUCAGCUUGUCACAAAACUAGCUUUUAAGAGUGGGAAGUAUAAGGUUGGCCAAGACGCUAACGGGAUCCAUGAAGGAAUUCACGUAGCUUCUCAUACGGUUAAACAAUUAGAAAUGAUAAGUGAGAGGUUUGGAUGUACCUUGAGCCAGCUCCUGGUCUGCUGGAGCCUCAGGAACAACACGAGCCAGGUUGUGGUUGUGAGCGCAAGCUCCCUAGAGCAGUUGACCAGCCAGCUCUCCAGCCUCCAGCUUCUAUCCAAGAUGAAUAGUUGUCUGCUGGAGGAGAUGGAUAGGAUUCUAGGAAAUAAACCUACUCGACAACCAAUGGUUUCUACACUACAACAACGGUGGACCGCUACAGGAGGAGUUCCUCCUCAAUGAAAUCUAUAGUUUAAAGGGAAUGUCAACUAAAUUUAAUCCGACCCUUCUAUCUAAAGUGCCAUUUUUGAUUUUUUAAAUUAACAGACGAGCUAGAAAAGUGCUAAAAGGAAUUUAAUUUUCGACACAAACUCUGAUUUACUAAUCCCGAUAUCUUUAAACCCCAAUGUCGUAGAUCUUAGAUAUUUCAAACAAUAAAUUCUGUUAGAUCAAAUAAUCAAAGUUUUGAAUAUCAUGGGUUUACAUCAUUAGGUUGCAAAUACAUAGGACUUAUAAAGCUUAAAGGGUCCGUUCACUUAUCUCGGUAAUUUCAGGGUAAACUAAACAGCCUAUUCGCUGUUGAUUGGUAAUAGUCUUAAUUUUCAAAGACAAAGUGGCCGGAGAAAAAACCGAUUUUCUCGUUCAGAAUUUGAGCGUAAAGGGACGGUCCCUAUCUAUAGACACUGUUUGGUGCAAAGACUCAGUUUCUUUAACUUGUUUUAGAUAAGAAUACAUGGAUAAGUUCUCUUUAACCGCUUAAGUGUUAAAAGGUACUGUUGUGAGUCGUUGAAGGCUCUCUUAAAUUGUCGGGUGACAUUUUAGAGCAUUUUAGGAAGAACACACAAAUAAUUUACAGUGUAAUUAAUAAACAUAAAACAAAUAAUUUACAGUGUAAUUAAUAAACAUAAAACAAAAGUACACUAUUUUUUGCAACUGUCUGCUAGCCUAGGAAAUUUGCCGUUACCGGUGGGCGGUGACAGCAAUUAUCAUUAUCUGCCAAAUUUAACCUGAAUUUAAACACUAAGAACCUUUCAUCACAUGUUAAUACGUUAACGGGAAAUUGCCCAGACCUGCUCUCUACCAAUGUAUGGAAAGCUCCAUGAUGUUUACUGAUUCUGAGAGUUUAUAAUUACAUUUUUUAGUGAUUUAAUCUCAAAAUAUGUAUAAUGUACAUGUGUAAUAUUCCAUAUUAUCGCUUAGUUUUUUUGUAAUAUAUAAUUUAUUUAAUAAAUGUCCGAGUAAUU